GCGACGCCGCGUGGGGGAUGACGGCCUUCGGGUUGUAAACCUCUUUCGCCAGGGACGAAGCUUUUGUGACGGUACCUGGAGAAGAAGCACCGGCCAACUACGUGCCAGCAGCCGCGGUAACACGUAGGGUGCGAGCGUUGUCCGGAAUUAUUGGGCGUAAAGAGCUCGUAGGCGGUGUGUCGCGUCGGCCGUGAAAACCUGGGGCUUAACUCUGGGCGUGCGGUCGAUACGGGCAUCACUUGAGUUCGGCAGGGGAGACUGGAAUUCCUGGUGUAGCGGUGAAAUGCGCAGAUAUCGGGAGGAACACCAGUAGCGAAGGCGGCUCNCUGGGCCGUUCCUGACGCUGAGACGCGAAAGCUAGGGGAGCGAACAGGAUUAGAUACCCUGGUAGUCCUAGCCGUAAACGAUGGACACUAGGUGUGGGGGGAGUCGAAUCCCUCUGUGCCG
rnacentral:rRNA from 1 species